rnacentral:piRNA from 1 species
UCAACACAUUCUUCUAGUUCCUCACUGC